rnacentral:rRNA from 1 species
GCCGCGGUAAAACCAGCACCUCAAGUGGUCAGGAGGAUUAUUGGGCCUAAAGCAUCCGUAGCCUGCUCUGUAAGUUUUCGGUUAAAUCUAUAUGCUCAACAUAUAGGCCGCCGAAAAUACUGCAGUGCUAGGAAGUGGGAGAGGUAGACGGUACUUGAUAGGAAGGGGUAAAAUCCUUUGAUCUAUCGAUGACCACCUGUGGCGAAGGCGGUCUACCAGAACACGUUCGACGGUGAGGGAUGAAAGCUGGGGGAGCAAACCGGAUUAGAUACCCGGGUAGUCCCAGCUGUAAACGAUGCAGACUCGAUGAUGCAUUGGCAUAUAGCCAGUGCAGUGUCGCAGGGAAGCCGUUAAGUCUGCCGCCUGGGAAGUACGUACGCAAGUAUGAAACUUAAAGGAAUUGGCGGGGGAGCACGGUCAUACUU